GUAAUCUUGUGAAACUCUGUCGUGCUGGGGAUAGAGCAUUGCAAUUAUUGCUCUUCAACGAGGAAUCCCUAGUAAGCGCAAGUCAUCAGCUUGCGUUGAUUACGUCCCUGCCCUUUGUACACACCGCCCGUCGCUACUACCGAUUGAAUGGUUCAGUGAGGCUUUCGGACUGGCCCAGGGAGGUCGGCAACGCACCCAGGGCCGGAAAGUUAUCCAAACUCGAUCAUUUAGAGGAAGUAAAAGUCGUAACAAGGUCUCCGUUGGUGAACCAGCGGAGGGAUCAUU
rnacentral:rRNA from 1 species